CAUAUCAAUAAGCGGAGGAAAAGAAACCAACAGGGAUUGCUCUAGUAACGGCGAGUGAAGCAGCAAUAGCUCAAAUUUGAAAUCUGGCGUCUUCGGCGUCCGAGUUGUAAUUUGUAGAGGAUGCUUCUGGGCAGCCACCGACCUAAGUUCCUUGGAACAGGACGUCAUAGAGGGUGAGAAUCCCGUAUGCGGUCGGAAAGGCACCCUACACGUAGCUCCUUCGACGAGUCGAGUUGUUUGGGAAUGCAGCUCUAAAUGGGAGGUAAAUUUCUUCUAAAGCUAAACAUUGGCCAGAGACCGAUAGCGCACAAGUAGAGUGAUCGAAAGAUGAAAAGCACUUUGGAAAGAGAGUUAAAAAGCACGUGAAAUUGUUGAAAGGGAAGGGAUUGCAACCAGACUUGCUCGCGGUGUUCCGCCGGUCUUCUGACCGGUCUACUCGCCGCGUUGCAGGCCAGCAUCGUCUGGUGCCGCUGGAUAAGACUUGAGGAAUGUAGCUCCCUCGGGAGUGUUAUAGCCUCUUGUGAUGCAGCGAGCGCCGGGCGAGGUCCGCGCUUCGGCUAGGAUGCUGGCGUAAUGGUUGUAAUCCGCCCGUCUUGACACACGGA
rnacentral:rRNA from 1 species